UAGUAUGAAUUAAAUUGCAGUCACACGGUGCGAAUUGUAAAUAUUGUGUUCGGAAAAUGUCCUACCACCAUCGGAGAUAUGUUUAUUUAAUAAAUGUAAUAUUAAAAAUUAUCUCACUGUACAUAACGCGAGUACCUAAAUCGGUGAUAUCAUUAAUAAUAAUGUGAAUUAAAUCGAUAACAAUAACACUAAUACCAUAAAAAAAAAAAAGAUUGUAUAAUAAAAAUGAAACAAAAAUAAAUGUAUCGAGUUUAUUAUACAGACUACGAUAGUGACUACAUGUUUUGCAGUGACAUCGUUGGUACCCUUGAGUGCCCGAAAUACUGCUCAAACCAGUUGCCUCUCGAAGAGUAAGCUCUUUUUCUUUGAUGGAUUUAGGUGUCAAUGUUCAGUACCUGUUUCAAAAGUAUAACAUUCAUUUUUUGUAAAUAUUUGAAUAACUUAUAUGUGGGUACUACUAAUCUAAUUUGUUAAGAUCAUUUUCGAUAUGUACGAGUAUAACGACUGUUAAUAAAUUACGUGGAGCUCCGCGAACACGAUCUACAUCUGGUAUCGAUAUUCUAACAGUUGAACCUAUUUCGAGUGGAUCAAAUCGAGAUGAUGAUGACUUUAACAUAUUUUCUGCAUGUUUUUGCAAACAUGAGACUAAUUAUUUUCGUUCAUUCAUUAUUUUGUUUUGACGCUCUAAAAUAUUUUAAAUUAUUAUAUCGCACUAUCAGUGCAAGAGGGCCGUAUGUCAAAAAAUAUUAAUUUACAUUUUUGGUAUCUUUGAAUUCGUAUUUUUUUUUCUUUUUUGUCUUAGUGUGGCACGAUCUAUGUAAUUAUAUUUUUAAAUCGUUAGUUAUGCAAAUAAACUCAUUGCACUAAGACAGAUCGAGAGGUAACUGAAAACAAUAA